GAAAUGUUGUAAGAUAUGCAACACCUAUGCAAGCAAGUAAAAAUGUUAUGUGUUAUUUUGGUCAAGUUAGAAUAGAAACAAGAUCUCAAGCUCAUGGUGCCUUUUCCUUUCCUCGACUGUAAUAUCGCUAAUAUAUAUUUAAUUUCAAUUAGACGUGUGUAAUUAUUACCCCUUCAUCCCAUAUUAAAGGGUGUUAUUUCGUUGGUUUCCUUCCUGUUCAAAAACAAAACAAAACAAGGUGUCCUAUCUCCACCGAUCCACUUCUCCUCGACAUGCUCCACUAUCCUGUGUGCUUGAGUCGUCCUCGCCUUGGCACCACCCUUUGAAUAGUUGGCAGCACUCUUUGAAUAGCACCUCACUGACUUUGCCAUUAACCUUUCCCUGUUAAUUGUUACAUGGUGUUGAUUGUUGAUGGCCAUGCAUGCGAGCAAUUCCCGCUGAUUCCUGCACAAAGCGCAUGCUAAUUGACGGUGACCAUGCAACAUGCUAUAGCCCACUGUUAAUUUUGGCACAACAUCUGCGGCCUGAGGCGUGUGGGAGUGAGCACAAGGACUAAUUAGUGGUGUCACUGGUCUUAGAAAAAAAAAUCGAUACGCCCUCUAAUAUGGAACAUAUGAAGAAGGUGUUGUAUUUGGCAUUCAAGCAUUGGUUUUCCUUUUGGAUCUUGCUUGAUGAAAAGAGAAAAUUUCAUCGUUAUGGGGAUAGAUCAUUGCAAUUGCUGGUCUUCGGCAAGGAAUGCCUAGUAAGCGCGAGUCAUCAGCUCGCGUUGACUACGUCCCUACCCUUUGUACACACCGCACGUCGCUCCUAGCGAUUGAAUGGUCCGGUGAAGUGUUCGAAUCGCAGUGAAGGGGGUGGUUCGCUGCCCCCAACAUCGCGAGAAGCCCAUUGAACCUUAUCUUUUAGAGGAAGGAGAAGUAGUAACAAGGUUUCCAUAGGUAUUGUCGUGACCCUGA
rnacentral:ncRNA from 1 species